UCGAGAAUUUUUGACAAUGGGGGAAACCCUGAUCGAGCGACGCCGCGUGGAGGAUGAAGGUCUUCGGAUUGUAAACUCCUGUCAUUGGGGAACAAUGCGUGACGGUUAACUGCCGUUGCGUUGAUAGUACCCGAAGAGGAAGAGACGGCUAACUCUGUGCCAGCAGCCGCGGUAAUACAGAGGUCUCAAGCGUUGUUCGGAUUCAUUGGGCGUAAAGGGUGCGUAGGCGGCGCGGUAAGUCGGGUGUGAAAUCUCGGGGCUUAACUCCGAAACUGCAUUCGAUACUGCCGUGCUUGAGGACUGGAGAGGAGACUGGAAUUUACGGUGUAGCGGUGAAAUGCGUAGAUAUCGUAAGGAAGACCAGUGGCGAAGGCGGGUCUCUGGACAGUUCCUGACGCUGAGGCACGAAGGUCAGGGGAGCAAACG
rnacentral:rRNA from 1 species